UCUGUAAUUACAGGUGGAGGGUGCAACUGAUAUGACAGAGCUCACAGAAGAAAUUGCAAGUUGUGGUUACACAGGGCUUCUCAAACUGGAAAAAAAAGACAGUAUAAUACGAGCGACUGUUCUGCAUGCUACAAUGCGUUUGACUCCUAUGCUGCAGCAGAUAAGAAAUGAAGGUCUACAACCUUCUGGACGUUAUUGAAAAACAUCGAACUCUCUGCUCCAACCUGUUUGUUCCCAAUGAAGAUGAUGAUGGGCCGGAUGCUGAUUACAUAAUGAGUAUCCUUGAACCUGAGCUAAGUGA